rnacentral:lncRNA from 1 species
CUUCCACCUGAAGCCAAGGUUGGUGUCAUCUAAUAGCUUCCUGCUGCAAGGAAUUUGAGGACAUCCUCUGUCUUCAUCUAGUGGUUAGCAGAACAACUGGAAAACUGAUGAGAAAAUUCAUGGAAUACUUUGAUACUCAAAGAAUCAGAGUAUGUGGAAGCUCACAGGGAUUCUAUGUCCAGGGAGAAAAGGUGUAGAACGG